UUGAAUUAUUGAUCACUGGCUCAGAGGGGCACCAAAACCAGGAGCGCAUGAAUCCUGCUGACAGACGGAUGUCUAUGUAGAUUAUCCAAUUGCCAGCUCUCUUUCCCUCUCUUCACUGGACCGUGUAAUACAGAAGAGAGCCAGAGAGACAUCACUUAUGAUUGCUUUUGCGUGCACAAAGAUUUUAAAAGUGAUUUUAACUUUUAAACGAUUACAUUUUUUUAGGAAGUCAAUGACAGCCAAAACAUACUGACAAAAACAGACAGAGUGAUAAAUGAGUGAAAUAUGAGAGCCGAGAGGAACACACUGCCCUCAUUUACUCAACUCCAUGAGCUUCCAAAUCUGCAGGAUGAAUAAACAAUGACAGAAUUUGUAUGUUUGAGUGAAUUAAUCUGCAUUCUCCAUGGAAGGAUGAAAGGAGUGGGGGAUUAAGAUAUGUAAGGGAGGAAGAGGAGACUGACAGCAUGAGAGUAGAGGUACUGGAGAGCAGGAGGGAGUGAGUAGAGUUGAUACAAGUCAAGUAGUUGCAGACACACUCUAUACUGUACACAAGGAAAAUGGGUCCUCGGCUGAACUUCAGCAGCACCUACUCUGAGGAUUUCAGUUACCCGGCUCGGGUGAAACCCAUUGGGCCCAGACCGUCCUCUGCAUAUCGCAGGAACAAUCCUCAUCCACGGCCGGACUUCCUGAUGCCACGAGCCCCGCAGACAGGAUAUGGGUCACGGAAAUACAGUCAAAGCACUUCUGUUUCUUUUCUACCUCCAGUCAGACACAUAUCGGUCCAGUAUCCAGAUGUACAGACAGUACAUGGACAACCCAUACAAACUUCACUAAAAGACUGUAAAGCGCCUGAGGUCUCGUCUGCAGUGUGUACACUGCCACCUGCUGCCAAGCUUCUCAAACCACAACGCAACUUUAAUGCAAUGAUCACAAACACACAUGGGAAAUAUUCAGACACAGAUCGUAUCAAAUCAGCUUGGAACCAGCAGAUGGAGAUCAAGCCAUCUUUAAAACCCUUCAAACACCAGAAUACCCAUCACAAUAAAAGCUCACUCUCAAAAUCCGCAACUGACUGCAGGUAUUUUCUUACUGAGUCUUUGAAAAAUAAAUAAAUGUAUUAAAUACAUAAAAGAAUAAAUUAAGGACAAUAAAAAUGAUAGAAAUAAAACUAAAUAAGUAAAUAAUAAAACUAUUAGGUAAGACAAUGCCUUAUAUAGGCUUUGAGACGUGUUAGUCACACUCUUAUGAGUCUUUUAUCAUGUCAUUCAGCAAAGCUGUUUGUGUUUUUUAUGUGUUUUAGCGUAAACAUGACUCUGCUAAUACAUAACGAACGUCUGAGAUUGUCCUUUUUAAAUCCAGAUGUUUUGGUUUGCAGUGAAGGGCACAGCUGUUUUCAUGUGGUGAAACCUUAUAAAGUGGGACACUACAUCAUCCACCCUCAGUUUGUGUCAGAAGCAAAGCACUUCUAAAAGCGACAGUGUUUUUGGAUUGUUUUUUAAAAUAACCUUUUCCAUUUAUUUUAAGUUUGAUAAUGUCAUUUUACAGAGGUGUGUUAUGUGUUUGGGGAUCCAGCCUUUGUAAUAAAUGCUUGGGUGCAACUUCACUUUAAUGACUGUAGCACUAUUAUUUUAUUUUUAAGUAAAUGUGCAUUGCCAUGACAAAUAAACAAUGUUUAUGAUGUUCCCGUUAAAUGUGUUAUUAGCCGUAUGCAAACAUUACCAUGGUACCCAUUACAUUGUAAAAUGUAAAUAAAACAUAGUAUGCAUUCGCAAAAAUGAUAGCUACACUUAAUAUAGCCAGGCUUAAAAUAGUGUUAGAGAUAAAUUGAUAGUUUUUUUAAACCAUACUAUAGUAAUUUAACAUUUUAUUUUACAAGUAUUUAUGUUAAUUGAUGCUACAUUAAUAUAAAUACUAUAGUAUAAUUUAGUUUUUACUACAAUAAACAGUUGUGUAUUGUAGCAUAAUUUAUACAGUUGUAGGUAGAUGUAGUUUUGGGUCAUUAUUGCAAUAGCUGUUGUGUUACCACAGCACCUUUAAAAUUACUGCAGCAGAUUAAUUCAAGUAUAUUUUACCAUAGAAUGGUUUAAAAUACUAUAUUAUUUAUAUAAUAAAACAUAUAGUCUACAUUUGCAAAAAUGAUAGCUCUUCAUAUAGCCAGGCUUAAAAUAGUGGUGAUAACAAACAACAAUUCAAUUCAAUUUAUCUGGUAGAUUGUGUCAAAGCAGCUUACAUAGAAGUUCUAGUAAA
ensembl:lincRNA